ACACGACUACAUUAGAUACCCGGGGUAGUCCUAGCCGUAAACGAUACUCGCUAGGUGUCGGCCACGGUGCGACCGUUGUCGGUGCCGUAGGGAAGCCGUGAAGCGAGCCACCUGGGAAGUACGGCCGCAAGGCUGAAACUUAAAGGAAUUGGCGGGGGAGCACCACAACGGGUGGAGCUUGCGGUUUAAUUGGAUUCAACGCCGGAAAUCUUACCGGGACCGACAGCAACAUGAAGGCCAGGCUGAAGACUUUGCCGGAUUAGCUG
rnacentral:rRNA from 1 species